GUGAUUUGGGGCCAAGGAUACCGUGUCCGCCGCCACGGGCCACGGCGGCGUCCAGACGCUGGUGGCGCGUGUCGGCCAAUCAAGGUGAUGGAAGGCCGAAGCCGGCAACUGUGCCGGACCUCCUGGAGGCCAACCAUGGCGCAGCAUCUUCCAUCCAGCAGCUCUCGAGCACUGAAUUUUACAGUAUUCUGUAGAGCUCGAAAUCGUACCGAGAGAUGGUGUACCAGUCGAACAGCGUUCGUCCUACAGCAUAGAUCGAAGUCAACACUGCAGCUUAUCUAGAAGCUGCUCACCAGGGCACCAGUUCACUUGGGAGUUGGGAUAAGAAGCUCUGUCAGAUUUUCAAGGUAAAAGGGACUGAUCUUGCCAUUCCUCACAGCUAAUACGAGCUGAAAUGGAGGCAAACCAAUGCACCAUGCCAACAAAGCAUUCAAUUUCACGGAGAAAAACGAGAUCUUCUGAAAAGUUCAUCGUUGAGAUGAAAUAGUGCUCCACUUGAACAGCGUUCUUGCUAUCAGCAUCAUUUCUCGUCUUGGGCAUCAGAGCCACCAUAGUUGUAUGCUGCAAGCAGGACACCAGUUCAUUUGGAUACAAAGCUUUAUGAGGUGAUCAAGGCUGCAAUGGAAAAAACAAAGGCAAACGCGCACGGUUUUGGUGUAACAUCCAUGAGACGUACGUGCAGAGCGGGACAAUGCUAGGCUUGCUGGCACGCAUCUAUAGGCUAGUAAAUUCCACCCUUGUGCUUGUGCCGUGCAUGAUCUUUGCCUAGAUUUGCGCCAUAAGAUUUGUACUGCGCGAGAUGCGAUCGUCUUCUCCUGGACAAAGCCUCUGCCAUAUUAUGGAGAGGAACUAGAGAAACACUACGAAAAGUGAAGGGGGGAAAAAUUUGAAACCACUUGAAAGAAAAACAGCCGCUUGCGGCUGAAACGGCUUUGGGA